rnacentral:lncRNA from 1 species
ACCACAAAGGCAGCCGUAAAGUGGAGCGCACGCGGCAUCAAAAAAGAUCAAAAAAUUACGAGACCAUUCCAUGGAUAAUAUUUUCUAAUUUCUAAUCAAAUUACUGAUUUUAAGCUAUUUCUGAUGUAACAGUAUUAGUACAGUGCUGCGUAUAAGUCCGUUCAAAUAAUGCAAUAGUUUCAGCAAUUUUCACGGAAACUUCAUUAUUUUUAGGAGUAAUUCAAUAAUUCUCUCGCAAUUGCCGAGUAUUAAGUGCGGCUUAUCAGUUCAAGAUUUCCAAGUUGUUCACAAAUAAUUUCCGAUUUGUAACACUAUAAUUCUCUUCUCAACUACAUAUAGAGUGUUUUCCUUAUCAAUUGAAUUCCUUCUCCGCUUAUCAAAUCUUUCAAGCGAGUUUAGUGCUGUUCGGUUUGAUUUUGAAUUUGUUUUUUUGGGGAACCUAUAAAAAAGUGAUCUUCUCGGAAAUUUCGAAAUCCUUAUCAGUAGAACAUUUUACAAAAACUGUCUUUGGCUUCCAAACGAAUACAAAAAUAUAUAUAUACUAGUCGAUUAUUUGACAAGACAAAAACAUUGAGCUCGAACAUGACAUAAGCGGUUAGCUGAUAAUUUACUUCUAAGGGAUCAUUUAUAAUUCGAAUUAAAUGUAUUCGCUAUUUUUAGUCUUGGCCCGGAGCCCUUUCCAAUGUAAUUUAUAAAUUGCUGUUGUGCCAAUAAAGUGAGGAACCCUCGCACCCCUUGAACCCAAAACUCUUGAACCUAACCAACCAACCAACAUCAUCUUUCCUCAUUCAAAGAUGCUUCGUUUCCCUUUUUUGCUGUUAAUCAUUUUUGGGUGCAAAAACCCGAAAAAAUUAAUUUCUGUUAAAGAGUUCAUCGAAAGGCAAGCAACAGGAAAAGGAGAGAAAAAGGGAUGAUGAUGCUGGGGAGGGGUUCACGGUGGUAAAGAUCUCGUAAAGAUCAAAGAUGCUCGACCAUUUGGUAGAAAAUCCCCUAGAAGUGUGUUCUUUUCUUCAUCCUUUUUUUAGGGUAAAUCUUUGAACUUUCUUUUAUUAAUUGUUGGUGACAUGGCGAGGAGGUUCAAAAGGUGACAAGCUGUUUUUGGUCCAGUUAAAGUGCUGGACAUUUGACCGUUGGAACUGGAGUAAAACAACGAUUUCCAUGGGAAUCAGCUAUGGGAAAAGUUUC